AUUGUGUGUGUUGCACUAACUACCCCAAAGUGUUGUGCUAAUAUUGGGAACAGGCAAAUUGUAUCUUUAUAGUUGUAUCCAUAUGAUGUGACAGAAUCAGGUUAAUAGUUCACCAGGUCCAAGGGCUAAAGGGA